rnacentral:rRNA from 1 species
UACGGAGGGGGCAAGCGUUGUCCGGAUUUAUUGGGCGUAAAGAGCUCGUAGGUGGUUCGGCAAGUCGGAUGUGAAAUCUCCAGGCUCAACCUGGAGGGGUCAUUCGAUACUGCCGUGACUAGAGGUCGGUAGGGGAGUGUGGAAUUCCUGGUGGAGCGGUGAAAUGCGCAGAUAUCAGGAGGAACACCCGUAGCGAAGGCGGCACUCUGGGCCGAUACUGACACUGAGGAGCGAAAGCGUGGGGAGCGAACAGG